AACGAACGCUGGCGGCAGGCUUAACACAUGCAAGUCGAACGCCCCGCAAGGGGAGUGGCAGACGGGUGAGUAACGCGUGGGAAUCUACCCAAUACUACGGAAUAGCUCCGGGAAACUGGAAUUAAUACCGUAUGUGCCCUACGGGGGAAAGAUUUAUCGGUAUUGGAUGAGCCCGCGUUGGAUUAGCUAGUUGGUGGGGUAAAAGCCUACCAAGGCGACGAUCCAUAGCUGGUCUGAGAGGAUGAUCAGCCACACUGGGACUGAGACACGGCCCAGACUCCUACGGGAGGCAGCAGUGGGGAAUAUUGGACAAUGGGCGAAAGCCUGAUCCAGCCAUGCCGCGUGAGUGAUGAAGGCCUUAGGGUUGUAAAGCUCUUUUAGUGGGGACGAUAAUGACGGUACCCACAGAAAAAGCCCCGGCUAACUUCGUG
rnacentral:rRNA from 1 species